rnacentral:rRNA from 1 species
CAGCAGCCGCGGGAAUGCGGAGGGGGCUAGCGUUGUUCGGAAUUACUGGGCGUAAAGCGUGCGCAGGCGGUUCGUUAAGACAGAUGUGAAAUCCCCGGGCUUAACCUGGGAACUGCAUUUGUGACUGGCGAGCUAGAGUAUGGCAGAGGGGGGUAGAAUUCCACGUGUAGCAGUGAAAUGCGUAGAGAUGUGGAGGAAUACCGAUGGCGAAGGCAGCCCCCUGGGCCAAUACUGACGCUCAUGCACGAAAGCGUGGGGAGCAAACAGGAUUAGAUACCCCCGUAGUCCCUGUCUCUUAUAC